rnacentral:rRNA from 1 species
GACGAACGCUGGCGGCGUGCCUAAUACAUGCAAGUCGAACGCUGAAGAGAGGAGCUUGCUCUUCUUGGAUGAGUUGCGAACGGGUGAGUAACGCGUAGGUAACCUGCCUUGUAGCGGGGGAUAACUAUUGGAAACGAUAGCUAAUACCGCAUAACAAUGGAUGACACAUGUCAUUUAUUUGAAAGGGGCAAUUGUUCCACUACAAGAUGGACCUGCGUUGUAUUAGCUAGUAGGUGAGGUAAUGGCUCACCUAGGCGACGAUACAUAGCCGACCUGAGAGGGUGAUCGGCCACACUGGGACUGAGACACGGCCCAGACUCCUACGGGAGGCAGCAGUAGGGAAUCUUCGGCAAUGGGGGCAACCCUGACCGAGCAACGCCGCGUGAGUGAAGAAGGUUUUCGGAUCGUAAAGCUCUGUUGUAAGUCAAGAACGGGUGUGAGAGUGGAAAGUUCACACUGUGACGGUAGCUUACCAGAAAGGGACGGCUAACUACGUG